GAACGCACCUUGCGCCCUUUGGUAUUCCGAAGGGCAUGCCUGUUUGAGUGUUAUUAAUACCUCACUCUUGAAGUCUUUUAUUAAACUUUCAAGAUGUGGACUUUGGGGGUUUUGCAGGCUAUCACUGGUCAGCUCCUCUUAAAUGUAUUAGCGGAACUCUAUGCAGUACCGGCUUCAGUUUGAUAAUCCUAUCUAUGCUGUCGCUGUAAACUGUGCUGUUUGGCUUAUAAUUGUCUUUUACAGACUGCCAUUUACAUGGUAUAACUUUAAGCUUAACCUCAAAUCAGGUAGGACUACCCGCUGAACUUAAG
rnacentral:misc_RNA from 1 species